rnacentral:rRNA from 1 species
GACGAACGCUGGCGGCGUGCUUAACACAUGCAAGUCGAACGCUGAAGCUCAGCUUUUGUUGGGUGGAUGAGUGGCGAACGGGUGAGUAACACGUGAGUAACCUGCCUCCUUCUUUGGGAUAACGCCCGGAAACGGGUGCUAAUACUGGAUAUUCACUGGUCUUCGCAUGGGGGUUGGUGGAAAGGGUUUUUCUGGUGGGGGAUGGGCUCGCGGCCUAUCAGCUUGUUGGUGGGGUGAUGGCCUACCAAGGCUUUGACGGGUAGCCGGCCUGAGAGGGUGACCGGUCACAUUGGGACUGAGAUACGGCCCAGACUCCUACGGGAGGCAGCAGUGGGGAAUAUUGCACAAUUGGCGCAAGCCUGAUGCAGCGACGCCGCGUGAGGGAUGGGGGCCUUCGGGUUGUGAACCUCUUUCGCUCAUGGUCAAGCCGCAACAAUGGUUGUGGUGAGGGUAGUGGGUAAAGAAGCGCCGGCUAACUACGUG